rnacentral:lncRNA from 1 species
CGAGAUAUCACGUGGCUUACACGGAAGUGUUUUCUUCUCUUGGUAGGGUUUAUAUCCCAAAAUGUCCUAGUGAAUAUGAUCCCAGGCUCAAAAUGGAUCAUCCAUUUAUUCAUGAAGCACACGCGUUCGAUGUUCAAUUGGUCAGUGAAAGCUUUUUACAACCAAGAACACAGUUUACCGGAAGCAAAUCUAGAACAUCAGGAAAAAUUGCACCAGAAAAUCACCCCCGAUAACUGAUCAGUCCAGAACGCAACGCCUCUAACCACACAUAGCACGAGCCCUGCUACGCGCAGGUGCUUAGACGGAGCGCUUGUUGGCCGGCUGCCAGUCGCGGGCGCUCUUGGGGCGCUGCACCAGGAAGCCCAUGAUCUGCACCUGCUUCACGUUGUCGAAGGCCACCAGGCGCACGUAGGCGUCCGGGAAGGCCUUGGUGCAGGCAACAAUCUCGCGCAGCACCUGCAUCGGGUCGCGGCAGCCGAACAUGGGCAGCUUCCACAUCGUCCAGUAGCGGUUGUCGUAGUACAGCUGCGGGGGAGGGGGAGAUGGCAGAGGGAAAAGAAUGACAGGAUUAUGUCAGUUGAACUAGGAAGGAAGACAACAAGGGCAGAGCGACCCAAAACCACUGCUGAGCACAAAUGUCUCGUAACCCUCAACUUACGCAGGAGACUGGGCCGAAGCGGACGGUCGACUCGUUCGAGACGUAGGCCUUGUCAGCCUCAGCGAACUCAAGGCAAGGAAUCCAGCCUACAGUUGGUAAUUUUGGAAAGCACGUCUGUAAUUAGGUGAUGGCGAAUCCACAUAGCGCACAAUUGAUGAGCAUAAGCGAGACGCACCGUUGGCGACGAUGUAGUCAACCUGGGCAGCAAUCUGCUCGUCUGUCAGAGGCGGAAGGUAGGAGAAGGUCUCGAACAUCCUGAAAUUGUAAGCAUUGAUAUCAUCAUCCAGGAGGACAGAAGAAUUUUCCUUGCGGAAGGGUCGAGGCCAACAUGUUGAACCACGGCGCUGCUCACUUGUUGUUCACCGGGGUCCAGACCAUCAUCUUGUUAGCCUGGGCUGGAGCAGCAACCGGGGCAGCCUUAACAGCCGGCUUCAGACCGGCAACUGGGCGCACGCUGCUGCGGGCGGGGCGCGCAACAACGGCGGCCACAGACGACUUAGCAACAAUAGCGGCCAUCUCUUCUCUGCUUGAACAGAAAGGUCUCAGAUCUUCAAAGAGUUGCGAACUGAAAUUGCUUCCUGUUACUUUGUCAUGAAUCAGCGACGCCUUCUUGUAUGGUGCGGAUAACUGUACGAUGAUAAAAUGUACGGCUACCUUCAAGCUUAGCCACAGCCUUCUCAGGAACCAAGAGUAUUUGCCUAUAAGGAUAAGGGUUCAUGGACGUGUUGACUUUGAAUGUUAACUCGCUGCUCUGACGCGCAGAUUUGAUAUGCUUGCAAGCCGGCAUCCUUUCCUUAUCAAACCCUAGCUAUGUGGAUAUGUGUAAAUCAAUGCCGACUACACAACUGCAUUGCUUAACUUAAUGUAAGGACACAAAUUGAUGUCCCCAGCCCGGGUAGUAGGUUUCGUCGCAACUGUAUGUCAGUUAUGGCAUUCCUGUAGGCAGCGAGGCUUUAAGGGUCAAGUAUUUGAGGUAAUAUUGUUUAAAAGUAAAUGUCUUGGGAAUCAUCUCGUGCCAUCGAGUGAGUCUACCGCACAGGGAGGGAUACCCAUAUAGUGUUGCACUUGCUUCGCAAUGCAUUCAUUCCCAAGAGAAAGAAGUCUUACGGCAUGCGCCACAAAUUUACACCUUCAGAAACAUGCAAUAACACGUUGUGCUUAUUUGUCUCGAGCAGCACAGCAUGGAGCCCAGAAACCUAAGCGCAUGGUUUCUUGAAACCCCGCAUGCUACAUCAUGUUAAGCUAUUCUCGCAUGUUCGGAACACCUUGUAUAGCUAUUCAACCAGUAUGCUUAGUCCUUAGCUGGUGAUGUCAUGCACGGGAAAAGUCCCUCUGGAGAAAGGGUUUGUCACCCGGGCCAUGCAUUGCGCCCACUCCGACACGCCCUCUGAUCUCUUUCCCUCCGGCGAUCGGUGAAAAACGGGUUUAUAAAACAUAUAACCAUUAUAACGGUACGGUACGGGAGCGCAGGGAACCCCAGGUCAGCACCACCGCUGCACAUGUUGGAAGCAACCGGGAGUGCAAGUGGCGAAGUAUAAGCACUGGAUGGGGCUGCCCUUUUCGGGAGCCGCAGCCGUUAUGUGGCCAACACAUGCUAAGGUUUUCACUCCUCGUUUAGCACAUCGUAAGCUAAUGCAGUUUCGUUUAUGUUGCUGGGCUUUGGAGGCAAACAGAGCACGAAGGGGCAAGUACCAUGUCCCCAGGGGGCAGCGGUUUUGCCACUGUUGUGGUACUAAUAGCCGAAUUGAGGAUGAAAAACACGUGUUAUUGGAAUGCCCAGCCUAUAAGGAUAUUCGUGCUGAAGAGGGAUUCGAUCAUCACCAGAGCAUGUUGGAGGCCAUGCAAUGGGAACCCGCACGUCUGGCGAAGAUGUUGGAACGUACGUGGGCUCACCGAAACUCAAUUACCCCCUUUGGACGCUAGUCUGGGCUGAUGUGCGGUGUUUUCCUUUCCUCCGUGGCUUUUAGGCGUUGUAGUAUUGCCCUUGGGCCUUCGGCUCGUAUGGGUAGUCCUACAGGUACGGGGUCACGCACCCCCAACCAUGUAACACACACACAUGUUUAGUGCCUCUCUGUGCCUCCAUUUCCUGUUUCUUUUGCCCUGCCUAGGGCCGGCCUUGAAUGUCUCUGCGGGCUGAAGUCCCGGCAAAUCCAUAAGCCGCAGAUAUUGAGCAAGCAAGUCCGGGCUACAGCGAGCAGCUGUACCAUUUCGCUGAAAAGGGUGCAAGGCCCCCCAGGUCCUCCAAGCCACACGUCCGUAGGCCGUGUUGCAUUCAAGGAGAUGGCUCGACAUGGCUCCGUCGUACCUGCCCAAUGGUGCAGGAGUGACAUUUGAACGUGUAGAUGGGUACGCGCUGAAUGUCUUCUUUGUCAUUGGUAUCCAAGGGGUCCUUUCCAGGGGAUUUGCAGCUGGAACCCUACCUGUCUUGGGGUUGGGGCGCCGGUCGCUCCUGUUAUCAGCAGGGCCUACACUCUGUGGUGAGAUGGCAGCCGAGGCGACUGAAGGCGAGUUCCAUGGUCAGACCUGAGCACCAUCAUUGGCUAUCUAUCCAUCAUUGGCUAUCCAUCAUUGGCUAUCUAUCUAUCAUUGGCUAUCCAUCUGGCUAUCUAUCUAUCUGGCCCAGAUGAGCUAUAGGGAGUUAGCCCCGAUAACAGUGUUCGGACUAUCGUGUCUAUUCGGACUACCGUGUCAGCCAAGGCAGAGGAAGCCAGGAAGUCUUGCAAGGAAAUGGAUGGACAUAGGAUGACACCUGUCAUCCGUGACUACCGGUUGCGCAUUGAGUAGAUGGUAGCGAUGUCAUGUGUCUUUUCUCUCCGCAUCUCUUUUGCGUGCGAUUUCUGUCGUUAUCCUCGUGUAAAGGCUUCGCUGUUUAUGAUGGACAAAAUCUAACCUUGAUUCGCCAUUACUAACACACUAAUUCGCGAAAACAUUUCUUGAUCUGCGAGCAAAAGCUGACUUGCCUUCGCUGCCUGCCCACCUACCUUGCUGUAGUUUUAUGGGGCGUAUUUGCGCGUCCGUGCCUUUGGGUCACAUGUGCUCUCCCUUCAAACUGCUUGCAACUUGCGGAAUGAUUCAAUCAGAUGAAACGUGGCAGAUACUGGUAAGCUUAAAGUGCAUAGGGUUGUCCAGGAGCAGGCCUGCGAACCCCCUGACGUCCCCGUGUCACAUGAUCUGCACCUGGGGGAGAUUAGCACCGCACGAUGCGCUUAGUCUGUUCAAAAACAAGCUGGACGCCGAACUACAUCACCCAUCACAGGCACAACUGCUCAGCAGCACUCCUUGAUGCAACAGCCUGGAAAAAUUGCACCUCGAACCCACUGCCGACAUGCCGACCAUCCACGCACAUCCACACUCCGAGGCGAUUAGCAACACGCGCAGCUGCUUAGACGGAGCGCUUGUUGGCCGGCUGCCAGUCGCGGGCGCUCUUGGGGCGCUGCACCAGGAAGCCCAUGAUCUGCACCUGCUUCACGUUGUCGAAGGCCACCAGGCGCACGUAGGCGUCCGGGAAGGCCUUGGUGCAGGCAACGAUCUCGCGCAGCACCUGCAUCGGGUCGCGGCAGCCGAACAUGGGCAGCUUCCACAUCGUCCAGUAGCGGUUGUCGUAGUACAGCUGCGGGGGAGGGAGGCAGAAGCAUGAGGAAGUCCAGCUUAGCAUUAAUACUGGAGGGCGGCCCAACCUCCUGUGCCUACAGAAGUGCAUGACAUUACAGGUGAACCACAGAAACGAAUGACUACGUUGCAAUGGCAUGUCUUACUGUUUCUAAACCCCAACUUACGCAAGACACCGGACCGAAGCGGACGGUCGACUCGUUCGACACGUAGGCCUUGUCAGCCUCAGCGAACUCCAAGCAAGGAAUCCAGCCUAAAAGAAGGGAGAUGCCAGCCAGAUAUCCGUCAAGUACUGUACCUUAAUGUGCAGUUCAUAUCCUCCGUACAUGCGCGUGUGUUGCGCACGUGCGGCAACUUAUAUGUGAUGGCAAUAACCCACAACGACGGCGUUGUGGUAAAGCAGCUGGGUCCCGAUCCUACCGUUGGCAACGAUGUAGUCGACCUGAGCAGCAAUCUGCUCAUCGCUCAGGGGCGGCAGAUAGGAGAAGGUCUCGAACAUCCUGCAUAGUUACAAAUAAUUGAAGACGGAAGAGUCUGCAUGCUUUUCUCUCGUUGCAGAGGCAGGAAUUCAUCAUGCAAGAACAAGGCGUAUCAAGCAUCAUGUCCAACGACUCACUUGUUGUUCACCGGGGUCCAGACCAUCAUCUUGUUGGCCUGAGUCGGGGUUGCCACAGGCGUAGCCCUGACAGAUGGCUUCAGAACGGCGACCGGGCGUACGCCGCUGCGUGCGGGACGCGCCACUGCCGUGGCCACCGACGACUUAGCAAUGACUGCGGCCAUUUCUCCUGUCUAUUUGAGAAGUAAGCAACCUUGUCAGACGGAUAAGGAUGGCUCUUCUGCCCAUUAGGUUGCUUCGGUUCUCUUUGUACUGGGAUGAUUGCUGUACUUUUGAUAGAAUGUACGGCGAGCCAACCCGAGCCACGGGUCUCAGGAGGGCCCUGAACAUACGUCAUUAAAUGGCGUAUUGAGGGAUGAAAUGAAUGGUGUCGUUUGUGGAAGACAUUAUUUUAUGGGGCCAAUAAUUGCGGACACAAUGGUUUGUCAGUUUAGCUACCUUAAUGUAUUAGAUAUCAGGUAGAGGUUGAGGCUCCAUGCCUUCUAUGCCACUGCGGCAAGCUGCCCAACGCUUGGGAACAACGUCCGGGGCAUAUAGUUAUGCUCUUUAGGCAAUGGAUUUCCAAUGCGAUAUUGGGCAUGCGGUUGCGGCCGCUACGAUUGAAGAUUAGAUGUGGGAACAUAGCCUGGGAAGGAGCGAGUUCUUUGGAAUGGCUUAACCCCUGACAGGAUACUGAGCCCUCCAUGUAACACCCAUGCUUAGAUGCUCGCUUAAACAUGGCAUCCAUGGGCAUACCAAUGAAUUUUGCAACUGCAACUGCGAAUGUUUGCUGGAUUGUUGCGGUAUAGUUGGCCUAUCAGUUGCAGCCUGCCAUACCCCAACUUCCAACCCUUGUUGAUCGCCGACUCAGACAGCAAGCUACCUUGUUCCCUGGAUAGGCUGCUACGGAUCACACUGUGCUCCGGCAGUUCUUUCGUUGGCUUAAAUAAUAUGAGUUCCACAGUUUUAAGGCUUGUCAUGUCACUAUUGCGAGCGUUGGAAAGUCAUCCCCUUAGCCUUCUUGUGUGUACUUUCGGCUUGCGCCAUGUCUUGGAAUCGCAGAAGGUGGGCACUCAUUGUGGGCAGCAGUGUCGGCUGCUCCUCCGGCUAACGGCGCUGUGCAUGCAAUACCUUCUUAACGGCUCCUUGUUUUCUUCCUUGGCAGCUUUCGAGCUAAUCGUUACAUUCAUUAGGUUGUGCGGCUAUAGCCGCAAAGUAAAAGUAUCGUCAAUAAUUUUCUUCUCUGGAUUGUCAAAAACCCGGAUAACACGCGUCAGGACCAUCACUUCAGGCAACCGUAGCGUUAAAUGAGUUAUUCAUGGCGCUUGAAGUUUGUGACAGCUCGGUUGCACCACCCAUCACAAGCGCAGCUGCUCAGCGAGCACCUUCGACGCAACAGCCAGGAAAAAUUGCGCCAGUUGCCUGCCCACGAUCAACUUAAGCCAACUCUGUACACACAUUCAUGCCCAGAACAACACGCGCAGGUGCUUAGACGGAGCGCUUGUUGGCCGGCUGCCAGUCGCGGGCGCUCUUGGGGCGCUGCACCAGGAAGCCCAUGAUCUGCACCUGCUUCACGUUGUCGAAGGCCACCAGGCGCACGUAGGCGUCCGGGAAGGCCUUGGUGCAGGCAACAAUCUCGCGCAGCACCUGCAUCGGGUCGCGGCAGCCGAACAUGGGCAGCUUCCACAUCGUCCAGUAGCGGUUGUCGUAGUACAGCUGCGGGGGAGGGGGAGAUGGCAGAGGGAAAAGAACGACAGGAUUGUCAGUUUGGUCAGCAAGUAAGACAUUUCAGUCAAAAACAGAGCGACCCAAAAACAUUGCUGGGCACAAACGUCUCGUAACCCUUAACUUACGCAGGAGACUGGGCCGAAGCGAACGGUCGACUCGUUCGACACGUAGGCCUUGUCGGCCUCAGCGAACUCAAGGCAAGGAAUCCAGCCUGGGAAAUGGGGAAAUGUUAUAGUAAAAAUCUUUCGGAGACGAUGACGUUGUACGAGAACAAUUUACGCUUGCAUAGCAUCCAACCCCAUCCUGAGAUAGCAUUGGAACGAGAGAAAAAGCGGGUCAAGAUCAUACCAUUAGCAACGAUGUAGUCGACCUGAGCAGCGAUCUGCUCGUCGGUCAGAGGGGGCAGGUAGGAAAAGGUCUCGAACAUCCUGCAAUGCAAAUCCAAUCACUCAAAAUUAUAAAGGUUAGGUAGAUUAUUGAACAACUCAAAGGAUUCACAAAAUAUCAAAUCACAGCCAUAAGCAACAAUGUACAGCGACUCACUUGUUGUUCACCGGCGUCCAGACCAUCAUCUUGUUGGCCUGGGCCGGAGAAGCCACAGGAGCUGCCUUAAUAGCCGGCUUGAGGACGGCGACCGGGCGCACGCUGCUGCGAGCUGGGCGCACCACAGCGGUGGCCACAGAUGACUUAGCAACAAUAGCGGCCAUUUUCCUCCUUAGUGAGAAGUAUGCGAUGACUGAGCUGGUGAGAAUGAGACUACUUCUGUCAACUUCAGUGCCGUUGCUGCCUUUUGUACCAAGGGGGCUACACCUGUACCACGAUAAACUGUACGACAAAAGGGAACGGUAGCCAGGAGUUCCAAAGAGGGUUAAAUGAAUGUUAUAUAAGCUAGUAAGUAUUAAAUUUCUGUGCAAAGGAUAGAUGCCCAAGUCUUGGAUGAGGCGAACUCGGCCGCAUGUACGAUAUGGCUGACACAUGUGUCAGCUGAAUUCUGAGCGUUUGAAAGGUUCUAACGCCAGAAUUUUACACAAGGAAUGUUAUGCGAUGCAAAAUUCGAAAGGAUGGCUUGGGCUCCGGGGUGAAAUAUUAAACCUGAGGGCUUAGGUAGCCGUUUCCCAGGUUUGUUCCAUCUUGCAGUCUCAUGGUGCACCGCGCUGUCAAAAGGUAUUAAGGGUAGUUCCGCCCGCAUCGAAAAUUUCGAAAUCGAGAUAUCAACAUUGUGUUUCCAUCUUGCCUUGUAAGCCCCCUGCCGUGGGGCCUCGAAGACGCAGGUCCCGAAAGGAUAUUAUGCCUUCAGAGGUUUGGGGGACGUUUAAAAUGAUUCUGGGUCGCUGGUUAAUAGUACCGGCCCCUCCGCAUGGCAGACGCCUUGACGAACGGCAUGAGAGGACUUCCAACAUAUUACGCGUCUGUGAUAUGCCGUGCCAAAAUCCUUGCCGCAACGCCAAUCAAUACCCUUCCAGGCCACGCGUGGACCUUUAGUGGCCUUCGACAGGGGGUUAUGACCUAGAACUGCAAUAAUACGUGGCUCUAGGCAACUUGGUUUGGUGGUUUGGUUUGGUGGCUUUAGCGCUGGGGUAGAGGCGAGGCCGAGGGAGCUAGUUGCGUACGAGUGCCCACCGGAGAUCGGGUGCCAGCCACGAUUUCUAACGGCUACCUUGCCUCGACAUUGGCUGCGAGCGAUCCUUAUGUGGUUCUCAAUCUCGCAGAUAAAUCUUUUUAGUUUAGCGGGACAGGGCAGGUCACAGGAUGACGAUGGGAGCUAAGUGAAUGGCUUGUCGCUCCGGCGACCACCACCCUGAGGACGGCUUCCUGCCGGUCGUUCCCGUUCGUUGAGCAGUGCGUCGCGGCCUCCCCCUGCGAACUGGACUAGGCCACAGUGAUACAUUAAGGUUGGGAUUCCUGUAGAUCCGUUUCUAGCUUGUUGCCCAGAUCCAGAAGGCGCUAAUAGGACAGCGUCAACCUGCUGUAAAAAUCGCUUAAAGCUUAAGUUGAUACCAUACAACACCAACCAGGGACACCAACGCAUAGCCAUUAACGUAGGAAAGUGAGGCAAAGCUGAAAGCAUUACAGCGGCUUCCCGGGAACGUACACUUGCCGAGCCUUGCCUACAUCGGGUCUCGCCUUGUGAGCAGCUAAGCUUAUACCACGCCAUUCGCGGUUCAUUGCCUGGGUCGCUUACUCUCCGUAGCCUGCUGGUAGGGGGAUAAGCAGAGUUAUGUGGCUUGCAAAGCUGCGCUGGACGAACUUGCUCCUGCGGGACAUUCCUGCCGCGUGGCUAGAAGCAGCACGACUGGCUAACCCCUUGACACAAGGUGUGCGACUGCAGCUGCCGCUCGAGGACAACGAUACUGAGCUUCGAAUCACUUAGUUGGUGUGGAAGCUUCCCAACAAUAGCAAGGUGGCGCUGAGGAAAUGGUGGCGUACGGAUGUGCACAUGUACGGACGCGACGGCUGAGGUGGACUGUCUGUCUGUGAAACAGGGGGGUAUAUCUUCACCAGUGGCAGCUACCCUGCGAAACCCUGCCUUCCCCGGUAUUUCGGGACAUCCUCAUCCAGUCACCCUAGUCAACUUCUCAGUGGAUCGCUCAGGUUCCGCACCCACCACCAGCAUCCAACGGAAUCAGCCGGGCCGUCAGCAGCCCAACUCCAUUCCUGGUCGGCGCGCAGGUUAACUCUAUCCCAGAUCACCACCGUCCAACAACUAGGGGCGCAAUACAUUCUACCAGCGGACGGAUUUAUGACCCUGAAAGAACUCGAUCCCGGAAUCUCCCGGGGGCAAUGGUCGCGCGUUACCAGUAGAGCCUAACCUAUGAAUGGAAUGUCUGUAUGUCGCAGAUUCCUGGGGGUUGGGAGCAGAUGUGGAGGAGGUGCAGCUCGACGCCAUGCUGUAAGGGCAUGACAAAUCAAUGGUCGUCAACACUGAGCGCCUGAACGGCUUCCAGUUGACAGUUUUCCCGUCAGAUCCUUAACACAUGAACGGUGUGACCAUUCCCACAGGGGGAACGCUGGUAGGUGGCAUAGAUGAGUUUAUCUUAGCCCCAAAUCGCGGCCGUGCCUAAUGGCCUAGAGAAUCCAAUUAUACUUGCUGGAUGGGAGACAGAUGGGAAACACUCGUUGCUAAUUGCUAUCCAAGCCGCGCUAAGGGAUCUUGGUACCUUAUUGGCUUUGGCACCUCUCUGCACCUCCUAUGCAGCUUUUGUGGGCGGGCAGCGCGGGUAAUUCUGCCGGAUCCAUCCCAACUUGAUUCAUUACAUGUAUUUACGAGCACAAAAGUCGAGUAUUAAUCAAUAGUCAAUAUUCACUAAAUUCUUCCAAUGAGCUGACCUUCAUGUAAACCGAACGGCCAGCACCGCCCUUCCUGCUAUCUGCUCCGAGAGGGCAAAACAUACAUAAGAACUGCGCUGACCAUACGAAACUGUCGAGCGACAUCCAAAAUACCAAGGUAAGCCAUCUAUGUCGCCAUCUAAUCGGGUCGAGGCAUUUAAUCUUCUCUGAACAUCAUUAAGAGAAGAUGUAUCUCCUAACAGGCAGCCCGAAGCAUAUGUCAUUAUUAGCGGAUGGAAUUUUUCCUAAUGAAUGGUUCACUACGAACAGCUGCUGAGCCAGCAUCCCUUGAUGCAACAGCAGGGAAAAAUUGCACAGGACAUGCUGGCAUAAAACCAUGCGAGCGCAUCCACACUCCCGAGGCGAUUAGCAACACGCGCAGCUGCUUAGACGGAGCGCUUGUUGGCCGGCUGCCAGUCGCGGGCGCUCUUGGGGCGCUGCACCAGGAAGCCCAUGAUCUGCACCUGCUUCACGUUGUCGAAGGCCACCAGGCGCACGUAGGCGUCCGGGAAGGCCUUGGUGCAGGCAACGAUCUCGCGCAGCACCUGCAUCGGGUCGCGGCAGCCGAACAUGGGCAGCUUCCACAUCGUCCAGUAGCGGUUGUCGUAGUACAGCUGCGGGGGAGGGAGGGACGGAAGCAGAAAAAAAGUAUGUUUAGCGACGGCGCAAGAAAAAGUGGUCAAGUCCCGAUAGGCUAUGGAAUACCUAACAGCGGAGUUGAAAUGAUGACCAUCCCUUUCGCCGUAUACCCCAACUUACGCAGGAGACUGGGCCGAAGCGGACGGUCGACUCGUUCGACACGUAGGCCUUGUCGGCCUCAGCGAACUCAAGGCAAGGAAUCCAGCCUGAUACAAAAGGGGGACAUCCGAGAGUGUACAAACUUGCAAACCAUUGCCCAUACAACCCAAGCUGAAGCCCAAACUCCGAUUGGAAGGCAACAUUGACCCUUAGGAAUGUUGCCUUACCAUUAGCAACGAUGUAGUCAACCUGAGCAGCGAUCUGCUCGUCAGUCAGAGGGGGCAGGUAGGAAAAGGUCUCGAACAUCCUGAAAGAGAAAACAAGUUGUGAACAUAAAACGUGUAAGCAAGCGGAAAGAAAAGCGUUUGGCAGUACAAAUAUAAGACAAAACAAAAGAAAUCGCAAGACAAGUACCGACGUGAUUAGGCAAAUACCGACGUGCCGUUCAUGAAAGACAUUCCUAAUCUCGCUUCAGGGAUACAGAAUCAAGGUAAUUUAGUAGAUUGUGCAGUAGAAAAGGUGCAGCUACUCACUUGUUGUUCACCGGGGUCCAGACCAUCAUCUUGUUAGCCUGGGCCGGAGCAGUGACCGGGGCAGCCUUGACAGCCGGCUUCAGAGCUGCAACAGAACGCUGAACGCUGUUGCGGGAUGGGCGCGCCACUGCGCUGGCCACAGAUGAUUUAGCAACAAUAGCGGCCAUUUUGGGAUAUGAUUUAAAUGUUUAAGAAUCACUAAUAUAUUAAUUGUAUGCUUAAUUGUGAUCACAGCUGAUUGCUUUUGUAUUGUGAUGAUCUGUACCACGAUAAAACGUACGGCAGCGUUGAAGCCUUGGCACGGACUUCCCUGGGGCUAAUGUUUUAAUCUUGGAGAGCAUAUUCUGAUAACCUUUGCAUUUCAUCAGGUCUAGGGCUUCAGUCGGAGAAAGCUCGGUCCUUAAGGUUCUCAGCCUUGGUCAUAAGGAUAAGGUUUUCGAUGCCGUUUGCUAGUGCAUAAGGUACAACUACCAUUAAGAAUCAAGUAAUUUGCUCAUUGCGGCAGAAAACGUGGUGUUGCACUAUAUAGCCUGUCAAUGGCUUACGAAGGGCGAAGUGCCGUCAGACCUUUAUGGCCAUUCUGAGUGGCCAGCCCAUACUUGCAAACAAUGAGAAUGUCCAUACUUGAUUCGGAAAGUAACAAUUUCUGGCAGUUAGUGGUCAAAGCCUCGCCCGUGGAGCUCAAUUUGAGGAUAGACAUUGUGUUGUGUUUUCAAUUUCAAGUGUUCAUGGAUUCCAUUACAAACUAUUUUGGGACAGUUAAGAGUCACCAUGAGGGCAGAUCGCUGCAACCGCUUCUUUCGUCCGAAUGGAUGAGCCUUUAAGUUCUAUACAAAGGCCGUGCAAGGGUCAAUAUCCAUACCUGUGCUGAACGAAGCGACGCCUCAGUACUGGGCACCGCAGGCGGCCAUUGCUCAGAAUGCUCUGGAUCAAGAGUUUUAGGCAUCGUCUUCUGGCCCAGCAGCGGUUGUGAUUUUCGUAUUACUGCUGCGGCAAUGGGGAGCUGUUUCACUGCAAUUGGGCUUGGUCUAGAACACGUACAAACACGGAUUUAUAGGGUCGCAUAAGACUGCAACGUCGUCCAACGACGUGGUUUUGUUGCAGCGUUUACAACACCAACGUUUGCGCGAGAGAUGUGUGUAGGAAAACAUGUGUGUGUGUGUUUUUGUGUGUGUGUUUUUGUGUGUGUGUUAGUAUAGUGGGCUGUCGUAUUUCCCUCAAGAUGUUUCACUUAAGCCCAAUCUCAAGUUCAUCUGCAGCGCUAAGUUUCCAUCUUCCCUCAUUAAUCGAGUAACGUUACAGUUUAUCCCAUCACCUCGAACCAUGGCCGCAGAAAUAGGAGGGGCGCGUACCUAAUAGUAUUAGCGCGUUAGGAAAACCCGCACUUAUCACAAUUAAGUCAUGCCAGGAUGGGUUGUUAGCAUGCGUCCUCAUAACGCGCCCCGCCUACGCCUCCUACGUGUCUAAUCGUCACCCACACAUUCAAACCACUAAUCCCCCAAGCCGUCUAUUCGGUCAGUCAUCGUCAAUAUUUCUUCACUGAGCAUGGCUACUAUACCUAGUAGAAACUUCAAGGCAUCAUCCCACGACUGGAAAACCGCCGGAUCCCACGUUUAUUGCUGGCGUACACACACACUCAUGAAUGGCUAGUUAUCGGUAAAAAUUAGAAUGCAUCAACUCUGCACGCAACCUACAAUCAACCAACUGAAAAAACAUUUGCACCAGAAACCUGCUUCCUGUACGUGUACGAUAAACCGACCAAUUCUUCCGAUAUGCCGGCCAUGCGUGCGCAUCCACACUCCCGAGGCGAUUAGCAACACGCGCAGCUGCUUAGACGGAGCGCUUGUUGGCCGGCUGCCAGUCGCGGGCGCUCUUGGGGCGCUGCACCAGGAAGCCCAUGAUCUGCACCUGCUUCACGUUGUCGAAGGCCACCAGGCGCACGUAGGCGUCCGGGAAGGCCUUGGUGCAGGCAACGAUCUCGCGCAGCACCUGCAUCGGGUCGCGG